rnacentral:rRNA from 1 species
UACAGAGGUCUCAAGCGUUGUUCGGAUUCAUUGGGCGUAAAGGGUGUGUAGGUGGCGCCGUAAGUCGGGUGUGAAAUUUCGGAGCUUAACUCCGAAACUGCAUUCGAUACUGCGGUGCUUGAGGACUGGAGAGGAGACUGGAAUUCAUGGUGUAGCAGUGGAAAUGCGUAGAGAUCAUGAGGAAGACCAGUGGCGAAGGCGGGUCUCUGGACAGUUCCUGACACUGAGACACGAAGGCCAGGGGAGCAAACGGG